ACCACUUUGUGACGCACUCCUCUCCAUCGUGUGAGUAGCCAGUAGUCAAGCUGCGACUCAAGAAAUCUUCACCACAACAGCCAUGGUUGAUGCCGUGGUGAUGACCCUACUGUGUGCUGCUGUAGCAGGUUCCGCUACCAGCAGUAGUUGCAGCAUCUG